rnacentral:lncRNA from 1 species
UUAACCUGAAAUGGGACUACAAGGAACUUAAAUGCUUUACCAGGCUUCUGCUAGCCCCACAGAGCUUACACUUGCUCAGCUGUGGAUGUCCUUUGAACCAGGUAAAGGAGGCACUGGAGGAGAAAAUUUCUGUCCCAUUUGGAAUAAAGAAAACCCAGAGACAGAGUUAUCCCUGAAUACAAAAACCCUGGGGAGGCAGGCUCCUGUGAGGUGAGGGGACAAGUUGUGAGCGGUCUCGGCACGGUGCCCACUGAGCUGCUGUGGCUGUGGGUCUCCAUGCCUUGGUGACCCAUUCCCAGCACAGGAACUUGUGCCCCUCCAGGACCAGAGCACCGUGUGGGUGGAGCUGGGGCUGCCUGCAGUGGUGACCCAAAUUCUCAUUUAUUUACCCAAAAUCCAUGUGAGAGCUGUGAAUGAGGAAAGGUGCACCUGCAAUUCCCCUUUUUUUUCCUCCCUCUUUUCCCUUUCCCAACCCAAAUGCUCCUUUUCACUCCUGGACCAUGUCCAGAUGCUGAUGGAGGUUAUUGGGGUAUGGAUGCAGUCCUUUUCCCACCUCACUGCCCCUAAGGCAGAUCUCCCUCCUUCACCAGUUAUCUGAGUGUCUAAACCUUAAAUCCUAUUGCAGUAAUAUUGUAUUUAACAUUGCUGAGGCUUUUUGAAGGAUGGGGCCUAUUUUGAUGAAUUUCUUCAGUUUGAAAUGGUUUGUGGUGCAAAAAGCUUUUUAAAAAUAUGGAAACUGUUCAUAUUUUGACUGUUAAAUUU